UUUUGCUUCGGCAGAAUAUGUACUAAAAUUGGAACUAUACAGAAAAAAUUAGCAUGCCCCUUGCGUAAGAAUGACACUCCAAAUCAUAAAGCGUUACACAUUUUU